UACAGAGGGGGCAAGCGUUGUUCGGAAUUAUUGGGCGUAAAGGGCGCGUAGGCGGCUUUGCAAGUGGCGGGUGAAAUCCCUCGGCUUAACCAAGGAACUGCUUGUCAAACUGCAUGGCUUGAGACCAGGAGAGGUGAGUGGAAUUCCCAGUGUAGCGGUGAAAUGCGUAGAUAUUGGGAGGAACACCAGUGGCGAAGGCGGCUCACUGGACUGGUACUGACGCUGAUGCGCGAAAGCGUGGGGAGCAAACAGG
rnacentral:rRNA from 1 species